rnacentral:rRNA from 1 species
GUGAGGAAUAUUGGUCAAUGGGCGCAAGCCUGAACCAGCCAUCCCGCGUGAAGGAAGAAGGCCCUACGGGUUGUAAACUUCUUUUCUGUUUGAAGAAUAAGCUUGUCGAGACAAGUGAUGCCGGUAGGACAGGAAUAAGCAUCGGCUAACUCCGUGCCAGCAGCCGCGGUAAUACGGAGGAUGCAAGCGUUAUCCGGAUUUAUUGGGUUUAAAGGGUGCGCAGGUGGUUGAAUAAGUCAGUGGUGAAAGUCUGGCGCUUAACGUUAGGAUUGCCAUUGAUACUGUUUGACUUGAAUAUGGAUGAGGUAGGCGGAAUGUGUAGUGUAGCGGCGAAAUGCUUAGAUAUUACACAGAACACCGAUUGCGAAGGCAGCUUACUAAUCCAUUAUUGACGCUGAGGCACGAAAGCGUGGGGAUCAAACAGGAUUAGAAACCCCGGUAGUCC